UACGGAGGAUGCAAGCGUUAUCCGGAAUGAUUGGGCGUAAAGCGUCCGCAGGUGGCUGUGUAAGUCUGCUGUCAAAGAGCAAAGCUCAACUUUGUAAAGGCAGUGGAAACUACACGGCUAGAGUGCGUUCGGGGCAGAGGGAAUUCCUGGUGUAGCGGUGAAAUGCGUAGAGAUCAGGAAGAACACCGGUGGCGAAAGCGCCUUGCUGGAUCUGCACUGACACUGAGGGACGAAAGCUAGGGGAGCGAAAGGG
rnacentral:rRNA from 1 species